rnacentral:piRNA from 1 species
CGGGUGUGUAGAAGAGAUGUCCGUGCACA